UACUUGUUCUUUUUAAAAUCUUGUAGGUAGGCUAUCUUUUGUUGCAGCGAGUAAAAUUUUUGGUGAAAUAAGAAUUAGUUAUGGGUCACUAUAAAAAGGUCAGGCUUUUUGGAACCGGGAUUAGAGACCCCGCUACUUGUUAUAAUGUCUAAGGAUUAGAGAUAGAAAUCAUAUGGUUUGGCGGCCAAACUGAUUUAGAGGAGUUUGCUUGUAAUCGACGAGUCUCGUUAGCUCUUGCCUGCCUAAUUUAUGUACACCGUCAUUUAGUUAAUUUUAAAAAAAAAAAUUAAGAGAAUUAGUCGAGUAAGCUAGAUCAAGGUGCAGAGUGGGUAGGAUUAAGUUAACUACAAUAUAAAAUUAUACAUGGGCGCGGGCAUGUGCCCGUUAAUAAGUGGAUUUAAGAGUAAUUACUUAUGUUUGAUAUAAUAGGGUUGGUGUACAAAUUGCCCGUCAAUCUCUAAGAG
rnacentral:rRNA from 1 species